CCUACGGGAGGCAGCAGUGGGGAAUAUUGCGCAAUGGGCGAAAGCCUGACGCAGCGACGCCGCGUGAGGGAUGAAGGUCUUCGGAUCGUAAACCUCUGUCAGCAGGGAAGAACGGUCACUGUGCUAAUCAGCAGUGAAUUGACGGUACCUGCAAAGGAAGCACCGGCUAACUCCGUGCCAGCAGCCGCGGUAAUACGGAGGGUGCGAGCGUAAAUAGGAAUUACUGGGCGUAAAGCGCUCGUAGGCGUUAUGUCAAGUCAAGGGUGAAAUCCCCGCGCUCAACGUGGGAACUGCCUUUGAAACUGACAAACUGGAGUGUGAGAGAGGAUAGUGGAAUACCAGGUGUAAGAGUGAGGUGCGUAGAUAUCUGGAGGAACAUCAGUGGCGAAGGCGACUAUCUGGCACAUAACUGACGCGGAGGAGCGAAAGCGUGGGUAGCAAACAGGAUUAGAUACCCGAGUAGUC
rnacentral:rRNA from 1 species